rnacentral:lncRNA from 1 species
GGGGGGGGGGGGGGGGGGAGUGCAAGAUGAGGAGAGAAGGCACUCGGGGUCCAAUCACGAUGCCCCAGGGCCUGUUCGCUGCUCACUCUCAGCGAAGGUGGUGAAGAGGGCAGAGUGUUAAUGACAGUAAUUGCUUUAAUUAUUUUUUUGGUUUGGAGAGUCGUAAAAUGCGCAGCUCGCUCAAUGCUAAUCAUGGUAAUGAGGAGGGGCUGGGGCCCGAAUGGCCGGCAAUUAACUGGUGAAGCAUCAGGCUGCAGGCGGAGAGGAACAGGCGAUCAAACCCGCUUCUCUUCUCCCCUCCCCUCCCUUCCCUCUGCCUCCUUUGGCCUUUAUCCCCCUCCACCACCUCACUUCCCCCCUCCUCCCUCUGCACCACCCCCUCUGAGGGAGGCCUCUGUGAUGGUGAUGGCGGUGAUAGCAGGGAUGGGGGAGUCGCCGUGGCUGGUCUCAGGGAUUGGUCUCCGGCCUGGGGGACGUGGCUGUCCUGGGGGAAACAGGAGCAGGGAGAGCCCAGCCACAAGCAGAGGUCUGUGCCUGCUCUGGGCACGCGCCUGUGGAGCUCCUCCAGGGCUGGGCAGCUGCACACAGUCUGCUCUGGACCAAGCACCUUGACCCUUACAGAUGAGCCAGGAGACAGAGGGCAGAGCUGCAUCCUUAAAUGAAGCUGGGGGAAGCCUCAGGGAAUAGACAUUGACCACCUUCUAGCCAACCUAGCAUCACAGGGUCAACCAACAUUUUCCGAGCGCUCGCUGUGUGCCGGGCUGGAGACCCUGGGGAAUCGGGCUCUGCUUGUUCUCAAGAUGCUCCCGGCCAGGUGGGGAGCUGGACAUGGAAGGAGUAAUGACCCUCCUGGGGGCGGGGAGCAUCUGAACGCAGCAUUCAGGCCGAAGGUGCCAACUCUUGAAGAAUCAGGGAAGGCUUCCUGGAAGAGAUGGCAGGGCCAUCGCGGAGGACUUCCUGGAGGAAGCAAUGUUUUCUGAGUCUUGCAAGGUGAGUAGCAGUUUCCAGGACGUGAGAGGAGGGCAGAUUCCUGGCUGAGGAAAGGAAAGACAGGAGACAUAGUUGGAGAAAUCACUUUGGGCCAGAUUACAAGGGGCCUCAAAGACCCCACUUCGGAAUGAAGAAUAGAUGAAACCACAUAGGUAAAACAUGUGGCACAAAGUGAGGACUCGAUGGGUGAUAGCAACGCUGGUCCUGGCAGUGAUAACAAAGUGUGCAGCCAGGGACAGUGUCCCAGGGACACAGAUGCACUCAUGUGGGUACCUAGAGACACUGUCAUACACGUGAGCUCCAAUUACACGAAUCACAGAGACACAAACGCACAGUCACCCUGUCCCCUACCCCAGAUACGUCCAGACACACACGGUCAUACACACUCAGAUAGACACACUGACAAAGUGCACCUCUGGACACACUCAACACACCAGAUCCACAGGUGGCUUCAUCUCUGAGGGGCUUGCUAAGGCCAGAGCUGUGCCUGACCCCUCACCUUGGUACCUGCUCCCUGGGACCGUGGGCAGGGGUGGAGUCAGGGAAAACGGCCUCUGCAGACCACCCAGCAGCCUCUCUGCUUGGCCAGCAUGUGAUCCUUGGCACUGCAGCUGGAGAGCCUGAGGCCAGCUGCCAGGAAGAACUGUCCAGCUGGGAAGCCAGCUUACUGCAGUCAGGGGUGCCACAUACUGCCUGGGCCUGAGGGAUUGGUGAGGUGCAUAUACCUGGCUUGGGGCAGGGAGCCGUUUCACCCCAAGCCAAACUCCAACCCUCUUCCAAGAUCAGGUCUCAGGGCCUCUGGAGACCCUCCCCCUGUGGGCUUAGGCAGAGGACAUGUGAGUUCAGCGGGGAGCACACUGUGCAUGGUACAUGCAGGUGUCUGCUGUGAUGAUCAGAAGAGACUUGCAGCUGGAAGCAUGGUGGUUAGACCCUGACACUUCUGGAGGUGAGGGGGUGUGAGGGACGACAGAGGAGCAGAGGAGCUCCCAGGAUUUGGUGAGGAGCCACUAUUCUAGGAUGUGGAUGUGGGCAGAAGGAGCUUGCUGUGUGCCAGGCACUGUAACCAAAUGAGUUCCACGUGCGAACGUGUUUAAUCUGUCUAACACCCAACCGAGCGGGUGUCCUUAGCAUCCCAUUUUACAGCCGUGGGGCUUAAGGGCCUUGUGCGAUUCACAGCUGGAAGUGGUGGAGACUGAUGGGGACCAGGCAGCCGGGCCUCGGAGUCCUGCUCCAUCAGAGCAUCUCAUGCCAGGGUCCCUGCCGAUUCCCCAGACUGUCCUUCUGGAGGAUGCUGGUGACUACUUCGUCCUUGUGUCCUAGUAGCCGGCAGAGGCCCAGCACAUGACAAACAAGGGCUGGAUCCGCCUUCCCUGUCACACCGGCAGGCUGCUUGUCAGCUGCGGCGGCAUCUGUUCUCGUCAGAAAAAUGAAGAAGGAAGUGAAAGAGCCACAGCCCAGGACUGCCGGCUGGGGAGAGAGUCUGGGCCUGGCCUCUCCUGGGAAGACCCCUUCCAGUAUCCCACGGGAGGCACCUGGGGGCAGGCCGGGGCUGGAGGGGCAUGGGUGCUCCACCGACAUCCUCUCCCCUUAAGAGGGAAGUGUGGUGAACAGCGUGGUCUCUGGCGCUGACUCCUGGGCUGCAUCCUAGCUCUGGACUGCCAAGCUGUGUGUUUGGGCAAGUUAGUAAACCUCUCUGUGCCUUAGUUUUCCCAUCUGUAAAAUGGGGAUAAUCCUGUUGUUGUGAGAGUUAAGUGAAUUAAUAGAAGGAAAGCACUUGGAACCAAAUACACAGCUGGCAUUAGUAAGCAUUUUGUUGGUGUUGGUAUUAUUGUCUCUUCCUUGUCUUAAGGAUUGCUCCUGAGUGAGGGGCUCAGCCCAUAGGUGUGAGGGAGCCAGAGCUGCCUAUGGACCAAGCAGGUGGGAGAAAGCUUCGUUCAUUCUACAAACCUUUAUUGACCCCAAGACUCUGACUCCUGCCCUUAGGGACCCCCCAGUCUGGUGGAGGAAGGCAGGCGUGUAAACAGAAUUAUUAUAAGAGGUGGUAUGUACUGUUCAGGAAAAAGAGGAGGAAGCAACUAACGGGUGUGGGGAGUGGUGGGGCCAGGAGGCCAGGGAAGGCUUCCCAGAGGAGGUGGCAUGAGCAGAAUGUGGAAGAGUGAGUAAGAGUUUGCCAGGCAGCCCAGGGUGGAAGACCUUCCAGGGAGACUAGGCAGCAGGAGCCAGGCUGUGAGGGGCCUGGUCAGCCGCGUCCCCGAGCCUGGGCUUUAUGGGAAGGGCGGUGGGAGAACUGGGGGAUGUUGGGGAGACAAGGAUGCCUUGGGCUGGAGGGAGGCGGUUCAGGCAGCUGUUGGAGGACGGGUGGGUGUCGGGGGGACUGGAGGCGCCUCCUCACUUGGUCCCUUUCCUUAUUCAUCUCCGUAGCCCCAGCUGCCACAGCCGGCCUGGGUCAUGGGCAUUACUGGCUACCACUGAGUGAAGGUGAUCACCCAGGCCUGAGAUGGUCGGGACCACAGAGGUGCUGGGCCUCGGCAGGAGGGCGCAGAGCUGCGGGUCUAGGGGCUUCUCUCCAGGGCCCUGCCCUCCUGCGUCCCCUCGCAUCUCAGCCCGGCAUCUUAGGCCGGAGUCAGCCCUGGCGUGGAGGGAAAGCGGGUCAGGAGGCGGCCGGGUGGCAGGGCCACUCCGUCCAGCAGGGGGCAGCCGCAGCGCGUGGAUGGCUGCGCCCCCCAACACGGCUCGCUCUGUGCCACCGGCACUUCGGAAAGGGCCUUUCGGAAGAUGGGGGUCAGACCCAGGGUGUCAAGGGCUUCCUGGGCGAGCUGAAGGGCAGGUGAGGGACCCGUCCGCACCCUCCAGAUCUCAUUUAUUAGGGCAGUCCUGCUGGAAAACGAGGAUGCCGGCAGGACCCUGGAGGCCAGAUGGGUCGCUCCAGGAAUUUCCAACCCUGGAAGUGCACUGGGAUCACCUGGGGACUGUGGGAGCCACACGCACCCCUGGGGCCCUCCCCAGAGCAGGUGCAUCAGAGCCUCUGGGGCUGAGGCCCAGGCAUCAGUAACUUACAAAGCCACCCUGGUGGCUCUAAUGCACCCUGAAUUACUGGGUUGCAGGGCUUUGAGAGUGAGCUGAUCAAUGCCAGGAUGGUCUUUGCCCUCCUGGGGUAGGUCUGCAUCAUUUACAUUUCGAGACCAUGACAGUCACAGGAGUGGGUCCAAGGGCCCUGGGUUCCUGACAUCUGGAGGCUGAGAGAAGGUGGGCAGGACACACUGUGAGAGUUACGCGCUCCCACCCGCCCCAGGACGAGGCGUUCAGAGCGGGUUGCAGUGUGUGUGUCCAUGAAUGUGUACGAGCAUCUUUGUGUGUGUGUACACAGGCACAUUCUUGUGUGAAGACACUGGGCAGCUAUAUGCAUGGGCACACGCCUGUACUUUUGGGCUUGUUCUGUCUGCACAGAAACGUGUACUUUUGUGUCUGUGCUACACAUAUGUGUCAGCACAUGUGAGUAUUGCUCUAUGCCUGGGGCUGUGGGCUGUCUCCGUGUGUCUCUGCGUACACACAUGUGUCUCUGCAUCCCUGUGUCUCAUGUGUGAGGCUGUCUCAGGCUUGCCUGUGUGUGCUCAUGUUUUUGGGUCUUUAGAAACCAGAGGUGGAUUUAAAGCUCUGCUAUUUGAAGGUAUUUUUCCUCUUUCUCUCUCUCCUUCCAGCCUGAUCGAUAUGCGGCUCCCAGGCAGCCUCCCCAAAGACCACACACAGGCGAGUUCUGUGUGGACAGAGUCAAGUGUGGGCUUAGAAAAAUCCACCACAGCCCCUCCAGGCGGAACGUCUCCAGCCGGCCUCCAGGUGGGCAGCCGGUCUUGCUGGCGAGGACCUCCUCAGAGCUGAUGCGGCCAGCAGCAGGCACUAUGUGCCCCUGAGUGUGCCGGGCCCAGCGCCCCUCCCUGCCCAGCAUCUCGGAAAGCAGGGAAUGAGUUAAGCAGGGCCAGGUGGGAGCACGAGGGCCUCCCGGGCAGGCUAAUUCUUCAACACCACUUUCUAUCAAUAUUCCUUAUGUAUCUGUUCAGCAUUUAUUUGGUGGAGCGGGUACAAGUGAUUCUGUUAGUAAAGAUGGUGAUCUGCUCAUGGUAAAAAAUGAGAUUUAUUGCACACA